ACAGUGGACGCGAGCAUCUUUGUAGUGAACAACAAGCUACUAAGGGCAGUCGGUGGAUGCCUUGGCAUCAAGAGCCGAUGAAGGACGUUGUAACCUGCGAUAAGCCACGGGGAGUUGGUAAACGAGCUUCGAUCCGUGGAUCUCCGAAUAGGGAAACNCUCGAAAGAAACCGGAGUAAUGUCCGGCGACCUCUACCUGAACACAUAGGGUAGUUGGAGGGAACGUGNGGAAGUGAAACAUCUCAGUACCCAUAGGAAAAGAAAACAACCGUGAUUCCGUAAGUAGUGGCGAGCGAACGCGGAAGAGGCCAAACCUUGCAUGUGUGAUAGCUGACAGGCGUUGCAUGCUGGGGGUUGUGGGGCCGUUCGGACCACGCUGUCAAGUGGUCAGAGAGUAAGAAAAGAUCGUUGAAGUCGAAGGACUCUGGGAAGUUCCGGCACAGAAGGUAACACCCUGUAGACGUAAGCCGAUCUCUCUCGAGNCGUCACCCCAAGUAAUGCGGAACCCCUGAAAUUCCGCAUGAAUCUGGCGGGACCACCCGUUAAGCCUAAAUACUCCUUGAUGACCGAUAGCGGACAAGUACCGUGAGGGAAAGGUGAAAAGUACCCCGGNNGAGGAGUGAAAUAGUACCUGAAACCGAUUGCCUACAAUCCGUCGGAGCCUGCAAGGGUGACGGCGUGCCUUUGAAGAAUGAGCCUGCGAGUUAGUGGUACGUGGCGAGGUUAACCCGUGUGGGGAAGCCGUAGCGAAAGCAAGUCCGAACAGGGCGAUUUAGUCGCGUGCUCUAGACCCGAAGCGAAGUGAUCUAUCCAUGGCCAGGGUGAAGCGACGGUAAGACGUCGUGGAGGCCCGAACCCACUUGGGUUGAAAACCGAGGGGAUGAGCUGUGGAUAGGGGUGAAAGGCCAAUCAAACUUCGUGAUAGCUGGUUCUCCCCGAAAUGCAUAUAGGUGCAGCGUCGCGUGUUUCUUAUCGGAGGUAGAGCACUGGAUGGUCUAGGGGGCCCACAAGCUUACCGAAAUCAGCCAAACUCCGAAUGCCNNGGUAAGUGAGAGCGCGGCAGUGAGACUGUGGGGGAUAAGCUUCAUAGUCGAGAGGGAAACAGCCCAGAACACCAGCUAAGGCCCCCAAGAGAUUGCUAAGUGGAAAAGGAUGUGGAGUUGCACAGACAACCAGGAGGUUGGCUUGGAAGCAGCCACCCUUGAAAGAGUGCGUAAUAGCUCACUGGUCAAGUGAUUCUGCGCCGACAAUUAGCGGGGCUCAAGCAAUCCGCCGAAGCUGUGUCAUUCGCGCGAUAACCAGGCCUUCGUGGUCCAGGUGCGUGGAUGGGUAGGGGAGCGUCGUGUGCGCUGUGAAGCGGCGGGGUAACCCAGCCGUGGAGAGCACACGAGUGAGAAUGCAGGCAUGAGUAGCGAAUGACGGGUGAGAAACCCGUCCGCCGAAUAUCCAAGGGUUCCAGGGUCAAGCUAAUCUGCCCUGGGUAAGUCGGGACCUAAGGCGAGGCCGACAGGCGUAGUCGAUGGACAACGGGUUGAUAUUCCCGUACCGGCGAAACAACGACCCUGCCGAGGCGAGUAAUGCUAAGCACGCAAGGCUGGUUGAGGACUUCGGUCCAUGGCCAGNUUGAGUCUGCGACCCAAACUUGUAUUAGGUAAGCUGCGGAGGGACGCAGGAAGGUAGCCNCAUCCCGGGCGAUGGUUGUCCCGGGGUAAGUGUGUAGGGUGAGGUGUAGGCAAAUCCGCACCUCGUGGCCUGAGACAUGAUGCCUUUGGAACUACGGUUCCUGAAGUGGGUGAUCCUAUGCUGCCUAGAAAAUCUUCGUGAGCGAGUUGUUAGCCGCCCGUACCCUAAACCGACACAGGUGGAUAGGUAGAGAAUACCAAGGCGAUCGAGAGAAUCGUGGUGAAGGAACUCGGCAAAAUACCNCCGUAACUUCGGGAUAAGGGGGACCUNGAUGCGUGACCGGACUUGCUCCGCGANGCGUUGAGGGUCGCAGAGACCAGGCCCAAGCGACUGUUUACUAAAAACACAGGUCCGUGCCAAGUUGAAAGANNCGAUGUAUACGGACUGACUCCUGCCCGGUGCUGGAAGGUCAAGGGGAAGGGUUAGCGAAANGCGAAGCUCUGAACUUAAGCCCCAGUAAACGGCGGUGGUAACUAUAACCAUCCUAAGGUAGCGAAAUUCCUUGUCGGGUAAGUUCCGACCUGCACGAAUGGAGUAACGAUUUGGGCGCUGUCUCCACCACGAACUCGGCGAAAUUGCACUACGAGUAAAGAUGCUCGUUACGCGCAGCAGGACGGAAAGACCCCGGGACCUUUACUAUAGUUUGGUAUUGGUGAUCGGUACAGCUUGUGUAGGAUAGGUGGGAGACUUUGAAGCAGGGACGCCAGUUCUUGUGGAGUCAUCGUUGAAAUACCACUCUGGCUGUUCUGGUUAUCUAACCUAGGUCCGUUAUCCGGAUCAGGGACAGUGCCUGAUGGGUAGUUUGACUGGGGCGGUCGCCUCCCAAAAUGUAACGGAGGCGCCCAAAGGUUCCCUCAGCCUGGUUGGCAAUCAGGUUUUGAGUGUAAGUGCACAAGGGAGCUUGACUGUGAGAGAGACAUCUCAAGCAGGUACGAAAGUAGGGACUAGUGAUCUGACGGUGGCACGUGGAAGCGCCGUCACUCAACGGAUAAAAGGUACCCCGGGGAUAACAGGCUGAUCUUGCCCGAGCGUCCAUAGCGACGGCAUGGUUUGGCACCUCGAUGUCGGCUCGUCGCAUCCUGGGGCUGGANNGUCGGUCCCAAGGGUUGGGCUGUUCGCCCAUUAAAGCGGCACGCGAGCUGGGUUUAGAACGUCGUGAGACAGUUCGGUCCCUAUCCGCUGCGCGCGUAGGAAUCUUGAGAGAGGCUGUCCUUAGUACGAGAGGACCGGGACGGACAAACCUCUGGUGUGCCAGUUGUUCUGCCAAGAGCACGGCUGGUUGGCUACGUUUGGAAGUGAUAACCGCUGAAAGCAUCUAAGCGGGAAGCACGUCUCAAGAUGAGGGUUCCCACAGAGUUAAUCUGGUAAGGCCCCGGAAGACCACCGGGUUGAUAGGUCGGAUGUGGAAGUGCAGCAAUGCAUGGAGCUGACCGAUACUAAUAGGCCGAGGGCUUGUUUCCUACA
rnacentral:rRNA from 1 species